rnacentral:rRNA from 1 species
AUUAGAACUAAGUUUCAACAACGGAUCUCUUGGCUCUCGCAUCGAUGAAGAACGCAGCGAAAUGCGAUAAGUAAUGUGAAUUGCAGAAUUCAGUGAAUCAUCGAAUCUUUGAACGCACCUUGCGCUCCUUGGUAUUCCUUGGAGCAUGCCUGUUU